rnacentral:rRNA from 1 species
GCGUUCAUACCAGCACUAAUGCACCGGAUCCCAUCAGAACUCCGAAGUUAAGCGUGCUUGGGCGAGAAUAAUACUAGGAUGGGUGGCCCCCUGGGAAGUCCUCGUGUUGCACCCC